UAGGGAAUCUUCGGCAAUGGGGGCAACCCUGACCGAGCAACGCCGCGUGAGUGAAGAAGGUUUUCGGAUCGUAAAGCUCUGUUGUAAGAGAAGAACGUGUGUGAGAGUGGAAAGUUCACACAGUGACGGUAACUUACCAGAAAGGGACGGCUAACUACGUGCCAAG
rnacentral:rRNA from 1 species